rnacentral:rRNA from 1 species
GACGAACGCUGGCGGCGUGCUUAACACAUGCAAGUCGAACGGAAAGGCCCCUUUGGGGGUACUCGAGUGGCGAACGGGGGAGUAACACGUGAGUAACCUGCCCUUGACUUCGGGAUAACUUCAGGAAACUGGGGCUAAUACCGGAUAGGAAUCCUUGCUGCAUGGUGGGGGUUGGAAAGCUUCGGCGGUUUUUGAUGGACUCGCGGCUUAUCAGCUUGUUGGUGGGGUAGUGGCUUACCAAGGCUUUGACGGGUAGCCGGACUGAGAGGGCGACCGGCCACAUUGGGACUGAGAUACGGCCCAGACUCCUACGGGAGGCAGCAGUGGGGAAUAUUGAACGAUGGGCGGAAGCCUGAUGCAGCAACGCCGCGUGCGGGAUGACGGCCUUAGGGUUGUAAAACGAUUUCAGCAGGGGCGAAGCUUGUGGUGACGGUACCUGCAGAAGAAGCACCGGCUAACUACGUG